rnacentral:tRNA from 1 species
AGGUCUGUAGCUCAGCUGGUUAGAGCGCUCGCCUGAUAAGCGGGAGGUCGGCAGUUCAAGUCUGCCCAGACCUA